rnacentral:rRNA from 1 species
CACGUGAGGGCGCAAGCGUUGUCCGGAAUUAUUGGGCGUAAAGAGCUCGUAGGCGGUGUGUCGCGUCGGCCGUGAAAACCUGGGGCUCAACUCUGGGCGUCGCGGUCGAUACGGGCAUCACUGGGAGUUCGGCAGGGGAGACUGGAAUUCCUGGUGUAGCGGUGAAAUGCGUAGAUAUCGGGAGGAACACCUGUGGCGAAGGCGGCCCCCUGGUUGAUACGUGACGCUGAGACGCGAAAGCGUGGGGAGCAACAGG